GAUGAACGCUGGCGGCGUGCUUAACACAUGCAAGUCGAACGAAGCAUUUAGGACAGAUUACUUCGGUUUGAAGUUCUUUAUGACUGAGUGGCGGACGGGUGAGUAACGCGUGGGUAACCUGCCUUGUACUGGGGGAUAGCAGCUGGAAACGGCUGGUAAUACCGCAUAAGCGCACAAUGUUGCAUGACAUGGUGUGAAAAACUCCGGUGGUAUAAGAUGGACCCGCGUCUGAUUAGCUAGUUGGUGAGAUAACAGCCCACCAAGGCGACGAUCAGUAGCCGACCUGAGAGGGUGACCGGCCACAUUGGGACUGAGACACGGCCCAGACUCCUACGGGAGGCAGCAGUGGGGAAUAUUGCACAAUGGAGGAAACUCUGAUGCAGCGACGCCGCGUGAGUGAAGAAGUAAGUCGUUAUGUAAAGCUCUAUCAGCAGGGAAGAUAGUGACGGUACCUGACUAAGAAGCUCCGGCUAAAUACGUG
rnacentral:rRNA from 1 species